UACGGAGGGUGCAAGCGUUAUCCGGAUUCACUGGUUAAAGGGAGCGUAGGUGGGCUGGUAAGUCAGUGGUGAAAUCUCCGAGCUUAACUUGGAAACUGCCAUUGAUACUAUUAGUCUUGAAUAUUGUGGAGGUCAGCGGAAUAUGUCAUGUAGCGGUGAAAUGCUUAGAGAUGACAUAGAACACCAAUUGCGAAGGCAGCUGGCUACGCAUAUAUUGACACUGAGGCUCGAAAGCGUGGGGAUCAAACAGGA
rnacentral:rRNA from 1 species